AUGAUUCUUAAAGGUUUGCCAGAAUCGUUUAAACCAUUCGCAGUUCAUGUAACACAGAGUGAUGAAACUAUGACUUUUGCAGAAUUUAAGACAAAGCUCAGAAGUUUUGAAAACACUGAAACGUAUGCUAGGUCAAAUGACGAUAACGUUAUGAAAGCAAGUGGUGCAGCUUCUGUGAGAAGAGGAGGGAGAGAGAAAAACGCAGACCCUGAUAAUAUUACAUGUUAUAAUUGCGGUCAAAAAGGACAUAAAGCCUGGAGAUGUCCAAAUGAACGUCGUAAAAGUCAAAAACAGUGGUGUAGCUAUUGCAAAAGCUCAACACACAAAGACGCAUCUUGCAGACGCAAAAGAAGAGACGACGUAAAACAAGCGACGCAUGAUGAAGAGGACGCAGAUAAACAUGCAUUUGUCUUCAAAACGUGUGAUUAUCAACUAGACGGGCUGAAACAUAAAGGACUAAUGGUUGACACGGGAGCAACAUCACACAUAAUUACCGACAUCGGAAAGUUUAAGAAAUUUGACAAGACUUUCCAAACGGGCAAACAUUUCAUUGAGCUUGCGGACGGGACAAGAGCGAGUGGCGUUGCGCUGAAGAGAGGUGACGCGGAGAUAUGUUUGAUUGACAGUGAAGGAAAGCAAGUGAGCACAACGCUAAAGAAAGCAUUGUACAUUCCUUCAUAUCCACAAGACAUAUUCUCUGUUAAAGCAGCGACUGCCAACGGGGCUUCUGUUCGUUUUCGACAAGGACAUGACGAGCUCAUCCACAAGGAUGGCACGAGAUUUGAAAUAAAAGAGUAUAAUAGACUGUACUAUCUAAACACUAUAGAUAAGGGAGGAGAUUAUUGUAACGGCUGUUACGACAUUCAAACUUGGCACGAAAUCCUCGGCCACUGCAACUAUGAUGAUGUUUCCAAGUUGCCAGAUAUUGUGAAAGGAAUGGAAAUCAAAGGAAAGAUUGACAAGUCCAAACUGCACUGUGAAGUCUGCACACAAGGCAAAUUUGCGCAAAGCAGGAACAGAGAACCCGAUGCACGUGCCAAAGUCCCACUUGAACUUGUGCACACAGACUUGGCUGGUCCUAUUCAACCAGAGGCUAAAGACGGUCACAGGUAUGCACUUGUAUUUGUUGAUGAUUUCUCAAGCACAAUAUUUGUUUACUUCCUGAAAGCGAAAAGUGACACUGUAAAGGCUACGGAAAAAUUCCUAGCAUACACUGCUCCUUAUGGUACUGUAAAGUGCAUUAGGUCAGAUAAUGGCACUGAAUUCACAGCAACAAAUUUUCGGUCAUUGCUAAGCAAAAAUUGCAUUAAACAUGAGACCUCUGCACCGUAUUCACCCCACCAAAACGGUACUGCUGAAAGAAGUUGGCGAACAUUGUUUGAAAUGGCCAGAUGCAUGUUCCUUGAGAGUAAAUUACCAAAAGAGUUAUGGACUUACGCUGUGAUGACUGCUGCAGUAAUUCGCAACAGAUGCAUUAAUAACAGAGUAAAGCAGACUCCAUACUACAUGUUGACAGGAAGAAAACCGGAUCUUUCAAAGAUGAGAGUUUUUGGAUCCAUGUGCUAUGCAUACAAACACGACAGAAAGAAGCUAGAUUCACGUUGUGAGAAGGGAAUAUUUGUUGGGUAUGACAAGAAUAGCCCUUCAUACCUAGUGUAUUACACAGACACUGGAAGAGUCCUUAAACACAGGCUUGUCAAAUUCUUCAAGAAAUGUGCUGUCGAGCAGCAAACUCAAACUGACCCACAAAUACCAGAUGAGGAUGUUUAUGGGGAAGUUGUUUGCCAUCUAAGGUAA
ensembl:lncRNA